GACGAACGCUGGCGGCGUGCUUAACACAUGCAAGUCGAGCGGUAAGGCCCUUUCGGGGGUACGACGAGCGGCGAACGGGUGAGUAACACGUGGGUGACCUGCCCUCAGCUCUGGGAUAAGCCUGGGAAACCGGGUCUAAUACUGGAUAUGACUCCAUGACGCAUGUUGUGGGGUGGAAAGCCUUGUGCGGCUGAGGAUGGGCCCGCGGCCUAUCAGCUUGUUGGUGGGGUGAUGGCCUACCAAGGCGACGACGGGUAGCCGGCCUGAGAGGGCGACCGGCCACACUGGGACUGAGACACGGCCCAGACUCCUACGGGAGGCGGCAGUGGGGAAUCUUGCGCAAUGGGCGAAAGCCUGACGCAGCGACGCCGCGUGAGGGAUGACGGCCU
rnacentral:rRNA from 1 species